AACGAACGCUGGCGGCAUGCCUAACACAUGCAAGUCGAACGAGACCUUCGGGUCUUGUGGCGCACGGGUGCUUAACGCGUGGGAACCUGCCCUUAGGUUCGGAAUAACUCCCCGAAAGGGGUGCUAAUACCGGAUAAUCUCUUCGGACCAAAGAUUUAUCGCCUUUGGAUGGGCCCGCGUUGGAUUAGCUAGUUGGUAGGGUAAAAGCCUACCAAGGCGACGAUCCAUAGCUGGUCUGAGAGGAUGAUCAGCCACACUGGGACUGAGACACGGCCCAGACUCCUACGGGAGGCAGCAGUGGGGAAUAUUGGACAAUGGGCGAAAGCCUGAUCCAGCAAUGCCGCGUGAGUGAUGAAGGCCUUAGGGUUGUAAAGCUCUUUUACCCGGGAUGAUAAUGACAGUACCGGGAGAAUAAGCUCCGGCUAACUCCGUG
rnacentral:rRNA from 1 species